rnacentral:rRNA from 1 species
AGAGUUUGAUCAUGGCUCAGAACGAACGCUGGCGGCAGGCCUAACACAUGCAAGUCGAGCGCAUAGCAAUAUGAGCGGCGGACGGGUUAGUAACGCGUGGGAACGUACCCUUUUCUUCGGAAUAGCUUUGGGAAACUGAAGGUAAUACCGGAUACGCCCUUUUGGGGAAAGAUUUAUCGGAGAAGGAUCGGCCCGCGUCUGAUUAGAUAGUUGGUGGGGUAAUGGCCUACCAAGUCUACGAUCAGUAGCUGGUUUGAGAGGAUGAUCAGCAACACUGGGACUGAGACACGGCCCAGACUCCUACGGGAGGCAGCAGUGGGGAAUCUUAGACAAUGGGCGCAAGCCUGAUCUAGCCAUGCCGCGUGAGUGAUGAAGGCCUUAGGGUCGUAAAGCUCUUUCGCUGGGGAAGAUAAUGACGGUACCCAGUAAAGAA